UAUAAUUUUUGUUUCACCAUAGCUUCCACCACGUGAUACGACAGUUCUUCAUCUUAAGAAGACUAUGGAACGACACAUGUGUUUAUCUUUUGUAAGAGAAAACGUCCCGAAGGUUCCAUCACAUGACACGACAGUUUUUGAGAAAGCUAUUGAGCAACAUAUGUGUUUUGAAAGACAAAACGUCAA